GGUGUGGCUCAGUUUGGCUAGAGCGCCUGGUUUGGGACCAGGAGGUCGCAGGUUCGAAUCCUGUC
rnacentral:tRNA from 1 species